rnacentral:rRNA from 1 species
AGCGUACACGGUGGAUGCCCUGGCAGUCAGAGGCGAUGAAGGACGUGCUAAUCUGCGAUAAGCGUCGGUAAGGUGAUAUGAACCGUUAUAACCGGCGAUUUCCGAAUGGGGAAACCCAGUGUGUUUCGACACACUAUCAUUAACUGAAUCCAUAGGUUAAUGAGGCGAACCGGGGGAACUGAAACAUCUAAGUACCCCGAGGAAAAGAAAUCAACCGAGAUUCCCCCAGUAGCGGCGAGCGAACGGGGAGCAGCCCAGAGCCUGAAUCAGUGUGUGUGUUAGUGGAAGCGUCUGGAAAGGCGCGCGAUACAGGGUGACAGCCCCGUACACAAAAAUGCACAUGCUGUGAGCUCGAUGAGUAGGGCGGGACACGUGGUAUCCUGUCUGAAUAUGGGGGGACCAUCCUCCAAGGCUAAAUACUCCUGACUGACCGAUAGUGAACCAGUACCGUGAGGGAAAGGCGAAAAGAACCCCGGCGAGGGGAGUGAAAAAGAACCUGAAACCGUGUACGUACAAGCAGUGGGAGCACGCUUAGGCGUGUGACUGCGUACCUUUUGUAUAAUGGGUCAGCGACUUAUAUUCUGUAGCAAGGUUAACCGAAUAGGGGAGCCGAAGGGAAACCGAGUCUUAACUGGGCGUUAAGUUGCAGGGUAUAGACCCGAAACCCGGUGAUCUAGCCAUGGGCAGGUUGAAGGUUGGGUAACACUAACUGGAGGACCGAACCGACUAAUGUUGAAAAAUUAGCGGAUGACUUGUGGCUGGGGGUGAAAGGCCAAUCAAACCGGGAGAUAGCUGGUUCUCCCCGAAAGCUAUUUAGGUAGCGCCUCGUGAAUUCAUCUCCGGGGGUAGAGCACUGUUUCGGCAAGGGGGUCAUCCCGACUUACCAACCCGAUGCAAACUGCGAAUACCGGAGAAUGUUAUCACGGGAGACACACGGCGGGUGCUAACGUCCGUCGUGAAGAGGGAAACAACCCAGACCGCCAGCUAAGGUCCCAAAGUCAUGGUUAAGUGGGAAACGAUGUGGGAAGGCCCAGACAGCCAGGAUGUUGGCUUAGAAGCAGCCAUCAUUUAAAGAAAGCGUAAUAGCUCACUGGUCGAGUCGGCCUGCGCGGAAGAUGUAACGGGGCUAAACCAUGCACCGAAGCUGCGGCAGCGACACUAUGUGUUGUUGGGUAGGGGAGCGUUCUGUAAGCCUGUGAAGGUGUGCUGUGAGGCAUGCUGGAGGUAUCAGAAGUGCGAAUGCUGACAUAAGUAACGAUAAAGCGGGUGAAAAGCCCGCUCGCCGGAAGACCAAGGGUUCCUGUCCAACGUUAAUCGGGGCAGGGUGAGUCGACCCCUAAGGCGAGGCCGAAAGGCGUAGUCGAUGGGAAACAGGUUAAUAUUCCUGUACUUGGUGUUACUGCGAAGGGGGGACGGAGAAGGCUAUGUUGGCCGGGCGACGGUUGUCCCGGUUUAAGCGUGUAGGCUGGUUUUCCAGGCAAAUCCGGAAAAUCAAGGCUGAGGCGUGAUGACGAGGCACUACGGUGCUGAAGCAACAAAUGCCCUGCUUCCAGGAAAAGCCUCUAAGCAUCAGGUAACAUCAAAUCGUACCCCAAACCGACACAGGUGGUCAGGUAGAGAAUACCAAGGCGCUUGAGAGAACUCGGGUGAAGGAACUAGGCAAAAUGGUGCCGUAACUUCGGGAGAAGGCACGCUGAUAUGUAGGUGAAGUCCCUCGCGGAUGGAGCUGAAAUCAGUCGAAGAUACCAGCUGGCUGCAACUGUUUAUUAAAAACACAGCACUGUGCAAACACGAAAGUGGACGUAUACGGUGUGACGCCUGCCCGGUGCCGGAAGGUUAAUUGAUGGGGUUAGCGCAAGCGAAGCUCUUGAUCGAAGCCCCGGUAAACGGCGGCCGUAACUAUAACGGUCCUAAGGUAGCGAAAUUCCUUGUCGGGUAAGUUCCGACCUGCACGAAUGGCGUAAUGAUGGCCAGGCUGUCUCCACCCGAGACUCAGUGAAAUUGAACUCGCUGUGAAGAUGCAGUGUACCCGCGGCAAGACGGAAAGACCCCGUGAACCUUUACUAUAGCUUGACACUGAACAUUGAGCCUUGAUGUGUAGGAUAGGUGGGAGGCUUAGAAGUGUGGACGCCAGUCUGCAUGGAGCCGACCUUGAAAUACCACCCUUUAAUGUUUGAUGUUCUAACGUUGACCCGUAAUCCGGGUUGCGGACAGUGUCUGGUGGGUAGUUUGACUGGGGCGGUCUCCUCCUAAAGAGUAACGGAGGAGCACGAAGGUUGGCUAAUCCUGGUCGGACAUCAGGAGGUUAGUGCAAUGGCAUAAGCCAGCUUGACUGCGAGCGUGACGGCGCGAGCAGGUGCGAAAGCAGGUCAUAGUGAUCCGGUGGUUCUGAAUGGAAGGGCCAUCGCUCAACGGAUAAAAGGUACUCCGGGGAUAACAGGCUGAUACCGCCCAAGAGUUCAUAUCGACGGCGGUGUUUGGCACCUCGAUGUCGGCUCAUCACAUCCUGGGGCUGAAGUAGGUCCCAAGGGUAUGGCUGUUCGCCAUUUAAAGUGGUACGCGAGCUGGGUUUAGAACGUCGUGAGACAGUUCGGUCCCUAUCUGCCGUGGGCGCUGGAGAACUGAGGGGGGCUGCUCCUAGUACGAGAGGACCGGAGUGGACGCAUCACUGGUGUUCGGGUUGUCAUGCCAAUGGCACUGCCCGGUAGCUAAAUGCGGAAGAGAUAAGUGCUGAAAGCAUCUAAGCACGAAACUUGCCCCGAGAUGAGUUCUCCCUGACUCCUUGA